UUGAAACACCGACUCUCGUACGAUCACCGAAGUUAAGCAACGUUAAACCUGGUUAGUACUUAGAUGAGUGACCGCUUUGGAA